AUUGAACGCUGGCGGCAGGCUUAACACAUGCAAGUCGAGCGUAGAUGAGGUGCUUGCACCUUAUCUUAGCGGCGGACGGGUGAGUAAUGCUUAGGAAUCUGCCUAUUAGUGGGGGACAACAUUCCGAAAGGAAUGCUAAUACCGCAUACGCCCUACGGGGGAAAGCAGGGGAUCUUCGGACCUUGCGCUAAUAGAUGAGCCUAAGUCGGAUUAGCUAGUUGGUGGGGUAAAGGCCUACCAAGGCGACGAUCUGUAGCGGGUCUGAGAGGAUGAUCCGCCACACUGAGACGGAGACACGGCCCAGACUCCUACGGGAGGCGGCAGUGGGGAAUAUUGGACAAUGGGCGGAAGGCUGAUCAAGCCAUGCCGCGUGUGUGAAGAAGGCCUUUUGGUUGUAAAGCACUUUAAGCGAGGAGGAGGCUACCUGGAUUAAUACUCUAGGAUAGUGGACGUUACUCGCAGAAUAAGCACCGGCUAACUCUGUGCCAGCAGCCGCCGUAAUAC
rnacentral:rRNA from 1 species